GUGGGGGAGGGGAGGACGGCGCGGGAGGAAGCGGUUCGGUCGGCUGCAGCGCUACUUUUGGUCCGGGGUCGGCAGGGAGGCCGCGGCUACCGCAUCACAGCUGACGUGAGGACUACGUGGGGCCGCUGCCGGCUCCGGGUUGCUGGGCGGCGGCGCCGCUGCUGAGCGGCGGUCGGGCUCGCCGUCUCCACCUCCUCGCGUCCGUAAUCAGUGACGAGGUCCGCUACGUAAAUCCCUUUGCGGCGGGUAGCAGCAAUUGCAGAGACAGAUGAAUCUGCAGAAUCAGAAGGUGUAAUUGAUUCUCAUAAACGUAGAGAAAUCCUUUCACGAAGACCCUCUUAUAGGAAAAUACUGAAUGAACUGUCCUCUGAUGUGCCUGGUGUUCCCAAGAUUGAAGAAGAGAGAUCAGAGGAAGAAGGAACACCACCUAGUAUUGCUACCAUGGCAGUACCAACUAGCAUAUAUCAGACUAGCACGGGGCAAUACACUGCCACUGGUGACAUGCCAACUUACCAGAUCCGAGCUCCUACUGCUGCUUUGCCACAGGGAGUGGUGAUGGCUGCAUCGCCCGGAAGUUUGCACAGUCCCCAGCAGCUGGCAGAAGAAGCAACACGCAAACGAGAGCUAAGGCUAAUGAAAAACAGGGAAGCUGCCAAAGAAUGUCGACGUCGAAAGAAAGAAUAUGUAAAAUGUCUGGAGAGCCGAGUUGCAGUGCUGGAAGUCCAGAACAAGAAGCUUAUAGAGGAA
rnacentral:sRNA from 1 species